UACGGAGGGUGCAAGCGUUAUCCGGAUUCACUGGGUUUAAAGGGUGUGUAGGCGGGUAUUUAAGUCAGGGGUGAAAUCUCCGGGCUCAACCCGGAAACUGCCAUUGAUACUAUUUAUCUUGAAUACUGUUGAGGUAGGCGGAAUAUGUCAUGUAGCGGUGAAAUGCAUAGAUAUGACAUAGAACACCGAUUGCGAAGGCAGCUUACUAAACAGUUAUUGACGCUGAGGCACGAAAGCGUGGGGAUCAAACAGG
rnacentral:rRNA from 1 species